UGUGGGAGCGGGCUUGCCCGCGAUGGCGGCGUGUCAGUUUGCAAAUAUGUCGACUGAUACACUGCAAUCGCGGGCAAGCCCGCUCCCACA
rnacentral:misc_RNA from 1 species